CCCACAUGUGAAUCACAGCUUCUGCUGCAUGCCCACUCCUUUUACCUAAAUAUGCAGUUAUCAUCAUACAUCCAGAAUUGCCCUCUGUCCCCGGCUGCAUACAUCAUCAGAGGAGAAUGUUGAUCACCUGUUUCCAAGCCUUGGCAAGGCAAUUCAGGAUAAAUGU
rnacentral:sRNA from 1 species